CCAAACCCGGUUGUAGAGCAUCAUGAAGCUACAUUAUCGGCCCCAAGUAUACUAACAACACAAUCUUGCACAGAUGGUAAUGGUACUUACUCAUCUGCAAUUAUGAUGACAAGAAUCAUAGCUCCAUGUAUUUUCUCCUAAAUAACAUUGUGAAUAUUUUCCUACUUGUAUCAACUCUACGGUUGGAUCAUUAUCACAACUGGCUGGGGAUCAGCAUGAUUCUUCGUUGUUUUCUUUGAGUAAUCUAAUUCUCUAUUCUGGCAUUUCAGUUGCACUGACUUAUAUUCAAGUAGGUUCACCUUCAUUUACAUGUUACCCUGGUUUUUUUUGCUAAGAUGUAGGCUAUGAACCUCCAAACGAUGCAUUACAUGGGGCGACAGUGGUAAAAGGUAUGCACAUGCACGCUUCUCCACAAUUGAUACUGACAUGAUCGGUAGUGGCUCAUCAUUUAACAUAUGUGUUUUCUGCACUAUCUGGUUAGUAGUUAUUAAUUUUGACAUGAUGCAAACUAUGUCAAUUGCAUAGACUACGCUGAGACAACAAAGGAGCAGUUCAACGCACAAAGGCGUGGUGCUUAUCGAAAAAGGACCAGGAUACUGUGUUGUUGCGAGAGGUUCAUCAGCCCUCCUAGACAAAUUCUGGUGAGUUCUUUAACAUGACUGUGCUGACUAAGAUUUGCAUUUGGUAUGAAUGUGAUAUAAGUGAGUUGUCAAACUAACCUUAAUAGAAAAGUGGGCCUUAUUUCAUUCACUAACUACUAUACAAUCGAUUCAUUUUGUAGAUCAUAGGGAACUUAACAACGCGUGGAGGCAAGCAUCUUAUCGCAUUAGCAAGACAGAAAAUUUGAAAAAACAACAAAACGAUGUGCACAUCGUUCAACGACGUACCCUAGGUGAUAUCACGAACGCUCGUCAACCUACUACUGCGAUAGCAGGUACAUCAGCUACUCAUGGUAUAUAUAAGAGCAAGGUCAUAGUACCGUUGAUAUAUGAAGUCAGAAUACUCACCACGCAUGUUGAACUAGAUGAGUUGAUUGAGACCAAAGAGAAUCUGCAUAGAACGGAAGAAGAUCGCAAAAGAGACCAUAGAAACGCGCUGAGGAGAGCAUCUUAUCAGCGGAAAAAGGAUCGGGAUCUGCAAGAAGAGAAUUUCCGGGCCCUUAAUUUAUCUGGUAGGAUUUAAAUCUUCUAACCAAUAUUAAGAGUACUAGUAGACUAAAGUUUUUACCAAUAAUUAUGAGUAUGUAUUAUUAACAUCUUGCUACCAGACAACCCAUAUAGCUCCGACUAUAUAACAUUGGUGAAUAAUGAAACAGUUUUCACUGCUACAACUACGGUCACAUCUGGUCUGGUUUAUGACAAUACUUUUAAAGGUAAACAACUUGAGCAUGAUAUGCCAUCAAGCUAGGUCAGAUUACGUUUUGCUCUUUACAUUUAUACUAUGCCAUGAAUGACAGCAGACGAUCACUUCAAUGUUCUUGAAGAAAUCAGUCAAUUGAUCGAGGAAGAGCGGAAGAGAGAUCAUAGAAAUGCACUGAGAAGAGCUUCUUAUCGGAGGAAAAAGGAUCAGCUGGCAGCAAAUGGAAAUAAAAACCCGCUGUCUACAUCAGGUAAGACAAUGCCUUUAGUUUAACGUUGAAGUAAUCAUUUUUUUCCUCAUGCCUGCAUAUUCUUUUAGAGAAUACUAAGCACGCAACAUACCGUGAAAUGCUUGAUCUUAAUGCACAUGAUCUAUAUUUGAGUAGCAACAAAAAGUAGUAAUAUUCAUUAUCCGUUGUUGUCUUUUGAUUAAUCUAAUACUCGAUUCUGACAUUUCAGUUGCACUAACUUAUAUUCAAGUGUGUUCACCUUCAUUUACAUGUUACCCUAGUUUUUUUUAUUGCUAAGAUGUAGGCAGUGAACCUCCAAAUGAUGCAUUAGAUGGGGCAACAGUGGUAAAAG
rnacentral:lncRNA from 1 species